CGGGGACCUGGGACGAGGGGGUGGGGUGGGGAGGGGAAGGCAGGAGGGGGCUGCCCUUCCGUUGCCCAUGCUAAAGGUUCCUGUGUAGGAAGCUGGACGCAGCCUGCUGGACUAGUAAUCUUCCUCCUCGCUGGGGCGCGGGGCACUGAAGGGAGGGAGAGACUUUCUCCUCCUUCCUGUUCCCCGGGACAGCUGUGCUCUCCGAAUCCUUCCCUUCUUCCCAGCCCACUUAUCCCCCGCUCGCCAAGCAUCUUCAACUAAAGAUGUCAAAGCACAAGCUCACUUCCCACGGAAGGUAGCAAUUACUAUUAUCUACUUGACAGCUACAACCUAGGCACAGAGGUUAAGUGCUCUGCAAAUACUACCAGCCAGUGGUGGUUUUCCUGCCAGAACCAAGUUCUUGCCUUCCAGUGGACACCAUUGAUCUCUCAAGAUGAUUCUUUAAGUUAA
rnacentral:lncRNA from 1 species